UGAAGCACCAUCAACUUCGGGAUGCCCAGAAAGUGGUAAUUGCCACAAGCUUCAUUCAACUCACCGGCCCCCAACCCUGCUCAGCCAUGGGCAUUAGAUUAUGUGAUUAUGACCUCACCACACCAUAUGCCCAGACAAUCCGUAACCCCCAGCAACACUUGUGACCCAGAGAGGCUUUUGCCUGUUUUACGGCAUGCCUGAGAGACAGACAGCAGAAGCCAUUCAAAAGACACCAACCUCUACCCACACGUUACCAUCUCUCAGCACGUCACUAUGGGGAACUGCCGGGGAGCAACGGAACAGUGACCAGGGUGCUUAGCACAGACAGUCAGAAGGGUACCCAGAAGUCACCUACUCCAGGACAGGCCCAACAAAGAAAGAUCCCGUUCCCUGCAUUCUCAGUGGAGCGGUUUAAGACAUGCGAUAGCAGCAUCUUUUCCACCAAGGGGAGGUCGAGUUCUGUUUGAAAUGUAUGACUCCAAGCAUGCUGGAGCUGCGUGGAAGCCGGCGGUCUGGGGAUCCUACAAGCCUGACUGACAUGAGGCGCUCACCCUCCCAUGUGUAGAGUCAGGGGCCCACCCCCCGGGACUGCAUUCUUUCAAGAGGAAUUCGGAGGGCUUUCCUAAGUGCAAAAUCAUUAAAACUGGGGCCAGUAUUUUCACAAGAGGGGGCCUGAAGGGAGCCCAAAGGUCCACAUCCUCAAAGGUAAAAUGGACGUGGGUGAGGAGAGAAAUCCUCCCAGAGGGAAUGAGAAGAAGCGGGGGAUAGACAUCAGCCAGCACAGUGGAGAACCUGGGCUGGAUUCAGCGUGAGCAGCGGGAACUCCACUGACAUCAAUGGGGUUGCACCCGCUCUCACUAGAUCGGACGACGGGUCUGUAACUCCGGCCACCAGAUCAAAGCCCCCGAAGGAUAUAAAGGCCAGUUCUGGAAGGAAGCUCCCCACGGAGAACAACUGGGCCUGAACAAGCCGCUGCAGGAGCAGCCGCAUCCUCAGAAAAUAAAGCAUAGAGAGUGACUCGAGGCCACUCUCCGACGGUCCAGAAUAGUGAAAUGAAACUUGUACCCAUUCUGGGUGGAAGGGAAGUAUCAUCACCUAUACAAGAGGGGAAACCGAGGCACGGCAAUUACAUUUUUAUUCAAGGUCAGAUAAAAUUAGGUGAUUUGCCCAAGAGUUUGCAGUACAGGAAGAGAGAGAUCCCAAGUGUCUUGGCCUCUAGACUUAUCCAUAUGUGCAAAUCAGUCCUUCCCCUCACUGCACUACCUGCUAAGGAUUACCGAAACCUUAAAAAUAUUAUUGCCAGCCACGGAAACAACAUGCAGAUCAAUUCAAACAACUAGGCAAAUGGCUCUGUGACCAUCAUCAUCUUUGAUAUCCUCUAGGAUGGCACUGAAAUCCUCCUGCAUCUUUGCAAAUACCCAGGAAACAUAUAAUACAUGAUUCAGUUUGAAGGGAGAAGAAUCCGCUUCUAAUUAGUUUUCCAUAGUACUUAACUGAGGGUUUGUCUAUACAGAUGGUUAGUGCGCAGUAAGCUGGCAUGUAAAUCUACAGCUCUCUAGCCUGCCAUGCACUAAUUGGCGGAGUGGACCCUGUUACCAUUCACUAAAAGCGCUAUAGUUGCGCUUUCAUCUACUCUCAUUUCAAGAAAGGAGGUAAGAAAUGUCUGAAUUAAGGUUCAUGACAUAACCUUAACUCUGCCCCCGUGUGUGGCUUCAUUAGGUGACAAUCUUUAAUUACAUGGUCACAUAAUACUUUCUCCUGCUUCAUUCAAUGUACUCUCCUUUACCAAAUAUAAGUGUUAUUAAGUUCUCACUCACCUUCCUCUGGGGGCAAUUUCUGGACAGCCCUCACCUCCUUCAUAAAUUCGCCCAAAUUCACCUUCCCGUCCGCUGCAAGAUAAAGCACAGCUCAGAGUCAAUGGAAAUGACAAACAGAAACUAAGGAAAAGAGGCAGAAGGGAAUGGACAUCGCUGCUAAGUUCAGACAGAGCCUGGGAUCACAGGAGAGAAAGGAACAGCGGCAGAGAAUCGCCUGAAGAAAGAGCCGCAGGAGGCCUGAAGGAGAGCAGGAACAGGAACUGUCGGUGAUGCGUUCUGAGGAGAGAGCUGGGAGCCCUGCCAAACUGCAGGAAGGCUCAUGCAGAGGCCCUGAAGAAUGAGGGGCAGAACCAGCUUGGUCAGGCCAGGCUGGGCCAAGAAGGGGUUGACUCCGGAGAAAGGGAUUAGACUGGCAGGGCAGGCGGCCAGGGAGUGGAACACUGCAGGGAGACCUCUCGGGGGAGGCCUGACUUUGGGCUACCGGAGAAGACUCGUGGGAGAGAGGGGGCCUUGGGACUCUCGGGUGGAUGGCCUGGGGAGCGGGGGUCUGGAACAGAGGCCAAAGGAACUGAGACCGAGUGGCUAAUGACGCUAAUCCAUCCCCGGAACAGGGCACACCAGGGAUGGAUGUGGAGAAAGAGCGUCUGUUCUCACUUACUCUCAGCCUGGGAGGGUCUCCGCGUACUCAUCACGCUCUUCAUAAACGCGCUCAGGCCGACUGUCCCGUCUCCUGCAAGGGAAAGCACCACUCAGAGACAAGGGCCGGCCACGGCCAUGGGCAGGGAAGCGGCUGAGCCUCGGAUUGUGGGCUCUGUUCCUCCUGCUUUAGACCACUUCGGUGCGACAAAGGCAACUUCCAGCCAUCAGGGAACCUCUCUCCACAGAGGAAAUGGCCAUGUGGGACAAUGGCUUUAUGGCCCGGCCCCACUGCAGCCUCCUGCACAGAGGGUGUAUGGGGGGAAUAGCUGGAGGGGCAAAGGCCACGGCCUGAGAACCUCAAUGCUGUGGUUGUUCCCAGCUACCCAGUUGAGGCCAUAAGAGCUGGCUGCAAGAGAGAGCAGCCUGAUGGUCUAAGGGGGAAGACGGGUGAGGCGAGGAUGGAGUUAGCACCUUUGACAAGCCCAGGCAGUUCUAGGAAGGAGCAGCCACCCCCACCGCCUCCGCCCACCACCACGUUGGCAGCAGGAGGCCUCGCCCCACACAACGGGGCUCUGACAGCACAAACGGAGCCAGAGUGGGAGUGGACAUGCUCACUGUCAACGGGGCAGCGCUUGAGCGCCUCCUGCAGCUCCUCCGGGGUUAAAUGGAUCCCCAUGUUGGCCAGCACGGAGUCCAGGUUCCCCACAUCCACUUUGUCCUCCCGGAACGGAGACCGCACUUCGUCUUUAAAGAAACAUUUCAAACAAGUGAACUGGGCAUUAUUCUGCUACGUGCAGCUAGGAUGGGGAUAGACAGUCGAGAAUAUAACCAGGAUAAUAAAAAACAUUCCUUUGCCUUUCUCUAGCUACUUCCAUCUGACUGUCUCAAACCACAUCACACAGAUUAGUGAA